rnacentral:lncRNA from 1 species
UUUCAUAAGUUGCAGUCACGUUUUCUCCUUGCACAUGAGCGAACAUUUCAUACUGCUGUGUCAGGAGAGACUGUUUGUUCUCUCUGACUUCUUCAGUUCCUUCGUGCAUGAUCAGCAGUGCUUCCCAAACUUCCUUAGCUGUUUUGCUGUUUACAACAUUUUCAAACAGAUCGUCCUCUAAGGAUUGGAACAGGAUGUUCUU